rnacentral:rRNA from 1 species
AGAGUUUGAUUCUGGCUCAGGACGAACGCUGGCGGCGUGCCUAACACAUGCAAGUCGAGCGGGGACAUACGACGGAUAGGAAGUUUCGGAUGGAAUUGAAGAUGUAUUGUUCUAGCGGCGGACGGGUGAGUAACGCGUGAGCAACCUGUCCCUUACAGGGGGAUAACACAGCGAAAGUUGUACUAAUACCGCAUAAGACCACGGGGAGACAUCUUCCAGGGGUCAAAGGAGCAAUCCGGUAAGGGGUGGGCUCGCGUCCGAUUAGAUAGUUGGUGAGGUAACGGCCCACCAAGUCGACGAUCGGUAGCCGACCUGAGAGGGUGAUCGGCCACAUUGGGACUGAGACACGGCCCAAACUCCUACGGGAGGCAGCAGUGGGGAAUAUUGGGCAAUGGGGGGAAACCCUGACCCAGCAACGCCGCGUGAGGGAAGAAGGUUUUCGGAUCGUAAACCUCUGUCCUUGGUGAAGAGGAAGAGACGGUAGCCAAGGAGGAAGCCCCGGCUAACUACGUGCCAGCCGCCGC